GGUGAUUGAUUGUAAACAGUAUCACACAAAAUCCAAUGAUCACCUUAAACAACUGCAUUUAAGCUCUGAAAAAUGCCAUUCUACCGUGCAACGAGUAGAAGUAGGUAUAUACCAGAUUUUCAUUAAAAUAAGGGGUUAAUAUAUAUCAUCUACAUAUCAACUUUUCUUUUCUACUCAUUAUUAUUUAUUUUCUUCCAUGUUUACAUUAUCUAUUUACGAGAAAGAACCAAAGUGGAGAGAGACAGAAAAAGAAAAAGAUAGUAAAUAUUAGAUGGUAAAGAAAAGUGAUCAUUAUUAAUUGCCGGAAAAUAGCUGAUCUCUUGAUACCACGCCUUCACCUAAUCCUCUCGAGUGUUUUAGCUAGCAGAAGCUAAGCUAGUUGUCAUACAAAAAAAUGUCACUUGAAGCGUUGCUAUUAUUUUGUUAAUCAUGUGAUCUUGCAUCUAAUAUCUUGACAAAUAGCUUGCACCAACUUGCCUUGGAGGAUGCAUUAAUUCUUUGCCGGCCGCCGGAGAGCAUGCAACCUUAGCCAGAAAUCGAAAAGGGUAGCAAAAAUAACAUCUUCAUCUUCAUCAUCAUCUACCCCACAUGCCAUGGUACGGUGACUCAAAAGCAGUACCAGUCUUUUGCAGCUUUAAGUCCUUAUAGAACUUCUUGAUGAACUCUUCAGCUGCCUUGUCCACUUGGCUGUCUCCCUCAUCCUUUAAAGGAAAUGGUGAAUCAGUUAUUCUCAGUUGCCUCACCAUUGGGCUCUUUCCAAACCCAGGCAACACCAUAGGUGAAGCCUCCACCACCUCACUGUUCAACAUCUCAAGCAUCUUCUGCAUCUUCUGCACCGCAGCCACAGUGGUGACAUCGUCGUAUUUGUAAGACUUGGCGAAAUGGAAGUGUUGAUGGUGGUGCUUGCGCUUGUGGGCAAGGAAAGGGUUGAUAGUUGCAGGGCUAUUGCUGCAGCUGAAUUCGUAUUCUCGUGGGGAGAUGAAGGAAAGAGCAUCAUUGGAACGACAACUGAAGGAGGACUUAUGGUGGUGGUACAUGAGGUUGCCUAUGGCCUUCCCUGCUAGCUUAUUACCCCUUUUGAGCAUCAAAUGUAGAUCCACCAUUAUUCUGCUCUUUGAUAUGCCUUUUCUUAGCAUGAAGAAUACCACACGUAUUAUGUGCCAUAUUUUUUUGGCCACUUGUGGUGUGCUUGGCUCCAUCUCCAUGAGAGUUUUUUUUUUUUUUUUUU
rnacentral:misc_RNA from 1 species